rnacentral:misc_RNA from 1 species
GAUGAAGAACGUAGCGAAAUGCGAUAAGUAAUGUGAAUUGCAGAAUUCAGUGAAUCAUCGAAUCUUUGAACGCACAUUGCGCCCAUUAGCAUUCUAGUGGGCAUGCCUGUUCGAGCGUCAUUUCAACCCUUAAGCCCUGUUGCUUAGCGUUGGGAGCCUACAGUACUGUAGCUCCCCAAAGUUAGUGGCGGAGUCGGUUUCACACUCUAGACGUAGUAAUUUUUUCUCGUCUGUAGUUGAGCCGGUCCCCUGCCGUAAAACACCCAAUUUAUCAUGGUUGACCUCGGAUCAGGUAGGAAUACCCGCUGAACUUAAGCAUAUCAAUAAGCGGAGGA